rnacentral:misc_RNA from 1 species
GGAAUAAAAGUCGUAACAAGGUCUCCGUUGGUGAACCAGCGGAGGGAUCAUUACAGGACUCGCAAGACUCCUUCACCCUGUGAACCUCACUACAAGCACGUUGCUUCGGCGGGUGUCCCGGCGGGGGUUUUCCCUCGCCGGGGCGCACAGCCCGCCGGCAGCCUACUAUACUCUGUCUCUUUGCGUUGGCAUCUCGAGAAAAAACAAACAAGUUAAAACUUUCAACAACGGAUCUCUUGGUUCUG